rnacentral:rRNA from 1 species
AACGUAGGACACAAGCGUUAUCCGGAGUUACUGGGCGUAAAGGGCGUGUAGGCGGACCUAUAAGUCUAUUCUGAAAGCUCCUGGCUAAACUGGGAGAGGCGAAUGGAGACUGUAGAUCUAGAGUGAGGAAGAGGAAAGUGGAAUUCCGCGUGUAGUGGUGAAAUGCGUAGAGAUGCGGAGGAACACCAGUGGCGAAAGCGACUUUCUGGGCCUUAACUGACGCUGAGGCGCGAAAGCAUGGGGAGCGAACGGG